ACACGGGGUGCUGCGCGCCAAGGGGGAGCGCGGCUGAGAUCAGACCCGCAGAACCUGAUCCGGGUAAUGCCGGCGCAGGGAGCCGAAUU
rnacentral:ncRNA from 1 species